AUUGAACGCUGGCGGCAUGCCUUACACAUGCAAGUCGAACGGUAACGCGGGGCAACCUGGCGACAAGUGGCGAACGGGUGAGUAAUGCAUCGGAACGUGCCCAGAAGUGGGGGAUAGCCCGGCGAAAGCCGGAUUAAUACCGCAUGAGACCUGAGGGUGAAAGCGGGGGAUCGCAAGACCUCGCGCUUUUGGAGCGGCCGAUGUCAGAUUAGCUAGUUGGUGGGGUAAAGGCCUACCAAGGCGACGAUCUGUAGCUGGUCUGAGAGGACGACCAGCCACACUGGGACUGAGACACGGCCCAGACUCCUACGGGAGGCAGCAGUGGGGAAUUUUGGACAAUGGGCGCAAGCCUGAUCCAGCCAUGCCGCGUGCGGGAAGAAGGCCUUCGGGUUGUAAACCGCUUUUGUCAGGGAAGAAACGCUCUGGGCUAAUACCCUGGGGUAAUGACGGUACCUGAAGAAUAAGCACCGGCUAACUACGUG
rnacentral:rRNA from 1 species